rnacentral:rRNA from 1 species
UGCCAGACUCCUACGGGAGGCAGCAGUGGGGGAUAUUGCACAAUGGGGGGAACCCUGAUGCAGCGACGCCGCGUGGGUGAAGAAGCGCCUCGGCGCGUAAAGCCCUGUCAGCAGGGAAGAAAAUGACGGUACCUGAAGAAGAAGCCCCGGCUAACUACGUGCCAGCAGCCGCGGUAAUACGUAGGGGGCAAGCGUUAUCCGGAUUUACUGGGUGUAAAGGGGGCGCAGACGGCGAUGCAAGCCAGGAGUGAAAGGCCGGGGCCCAACCCCGGGACUGCUCUUGGAACUGCGUGGCCGGAGUGCAGGAGGGGCAGGCGGAAUUCCUGGUGUAGCGGUGAAAUGCGUAGAUAUCAGGAGGAACACCGGUGGCGAAGGCGGCCUGCUGGACUGCAACUGACGUUGAGGCCCGAAAGCGUGGGGAGCAAACAGGAUUAGAUACCCGGGUAC